GGGUGUGACUGCGUACCUUUUGUAUAAUGGGUCAGCGACUUAUAUUCUGUAGCAAGGUUAACCGAAUAGGGGAGCCGGAGGGAAACCGAGUCUUAACCGGGCGUUAAGUUGCAGGGUAUAGACCCGAAACCCGGUGAUCUAGCCAUGGGCAGGUUGAAGGUUGGGUAACACUAACUGGAGGACCGAACCGACUAAUGUUGAAAAAUUAGCGGAUGACCUGUGGCUGGGGGUGAAAGGCCAAUCAAACCGGGAGAUAGCUGGUUCUCCCCGAAAGCUAUUUAGGUAGCGCCUCGUGAAUUCAUCUCCGGGGGUAGAGCACUGUUUCGGCUAGGGGGCCAUCCCGGCUUACCAACCCGAUGCAAACUGCGAAUACCGGAGAAUGUUAUCACGGGAGACACACGGCGGGUGCUAACGUCCGUCGUGAAGAGGGAAACAACCCAGACCGCCAGCUAAGGUCCCAAAGUCAUGGUUAAGUGGGAAACGAUGUGGGAAGGCCCAGACAGCCAGGAUGUUGGCUUAGAAGCAGCCAUCAUUUAAAGAAAGCGUAAUAGCUCACUGGUCGAGUCGGCCUGCGCGGAAGAUGUAACGGGGCUAAACCAUGCACCGAAGCUGCGGCAGCGACACUGUGUGUUGUUGGGUAGGGGAGCGUUCUGUAAGCCUGUGAAGGUGUGUCGUGAGGCAUGCUGGAGGUAUCAGAAGUGCGAAUGCUGACAUAAGUAACGAUAAAGCGGGUGAAAAGCCCGCUCGCCGGAAGACCAAGGGUUCCUGUCCAACGUUAAUCGGGGCAGGGUGAGUCGACCCCUAAGGCGAGGCCGAAAGGCGUAGUCGAUGGGAAACGGGUUAAUAUUCCCGUACUUGGUGUUACUGCGAAGGGGGGACGGAGAAGGCUAUGUUGGCCGGGCGACGGUUGUCCCGGUUUAAGCGUGUAGGUGUGUGUUCCAGGUAAAUCCGGUUCACUUUAACACUGAGGCGUGACGACGAGGCACUACGGUGCUGAAGCAACAAAUGCCCUGCUUCCAGGAAAAGCCUCUAAGCAUCAGGUAACAUCAAAUCGUACCCCAAACCGACACAGGUGGUCAGGUAGAGAAUACCAAGGCGCUUGAGAGAACUCGGGUGAAGGAACUAGGCAAAAUGGUGCCGUAACUUCGGGAGAAGGCACGCUGACACGUAGGUGAAGUGAUUUACUCAUGGAGCUGAAGUCAGUCGAAGAUACCAGCUGGCUGCAACUGUUUAUUAAAAACACAGCACUGUGCAAACACGAAAGUGGACGUAUACGGUGUGACGCCUGCCCGGUGCCGGAAGGUUAAUUGAUGGGGUCAGCGCAAGCGAAGCUCCUGAUCGAAGCCCCGGUAAACGGCGGCCGUAACUAUAACGGUCCUAAGGUAGCGAAAUUCCUUGUCGGGUAAGUUCCGACCUGCACGAAUGGCGUAAUGAUGGCCAGGCUGUCUCCACCCGAGACUCAGUGAAAUUGAACUCGCUGUGAAGAUGCAGUGUACCCGCGGCAAGACGGAAAGACCCCGUGAACCUUUACUAUAGCUUGACACUGAACAUUGAGCCUUGAUGUGUAGGAUAGGUGGGAGGCUUUGAAGUGUGGACGCCAGUCUGCAUGGAGCCGACCUUGAAAUACCACCCUUUAAUGUUUGAUGUUCUAACGUGGACCCGUUACCCGGGUUGCGGACAGUGUCUGGUGGGUAGUUUGACUGGGGCGGUCUCCUCCUAAAGAGUAACGGAGGAGCACGAAGGUUGGCUAAUCCUGGUCGGACAUCAGGAGGUUAGUGCAAUGGCAUAAGCCAGCUUGACUGCGAGCGUGACGGCGCGAGCAGGUGCGAAAGCAGGUCAUAGUGAUCCGGUGGUUCUGAAUGGAAGGGCCAUCGCUCAACGGAUAAAAGGUACUCCGGGGAUAACAGGCUGAUACCGCCCAAGAGUUCAUAUCGACGGCGGUGUUUGGCACCUCGAUGUCGGCUCAUCACAUCCUGGGGCUGAAGUAGGUCCCAAGGGUAUGGCUGUUCGCCAUUUAAAGUGGUACGCGAGCUGGGUUUAGAACGUCGUGAGACAGUUCGGUCCCUAUCUGCCGUGGGCGCUGGAGAACUGAGGGGGGCUGCUCCUAGUACGAGAGGACCGGAGUGGACGCAUCACUGGUGUUCGGGUUGUCAUGCCAAUGGCACUGCCCGGUAGCUAAAUGCGGAAGAGAUAAGUGCUGAAAGCAUCUAAGCACGAAACUUGCCCCGAGAUGAGUUCU
rnacentral:rRNA from 5 species